rnacentral:rRNA from 1 species
CCUACGGGAGACAGCAGUGGGGGAUAUUGCACAAUGGGCGAAAGCCUGAUGCAGCGACGCCGCGUGAGGGAAGACGGUCUUCGGAUUGUAAACCUCUUUCUUUGGGGAAGCAGAUGACGCUACCCAUAAAGGAAGCUCCGGCUAACUACGUGCCAGCAGCCGCGGUAAUACGUAGGUAGCGAGCGUUCUCCGGAAUUACUGGGUGUAAAGGGAGCGUAGGCGGGGAUGCAAGUUGGAUGUUAAAACUAUCGGCUCAACCGGUAAUUGCAACCGAAACUGCGUCUCUUGAGUGAAGGAGAGGCAGGCGGAAUUCGUAGUGUAGCGGUGAAAUGCAUAGAUAUUAGGAGGAACACCAGUGGCGAAGGCAGCAUGCUGGGCUUUAACUGACGCUGAGGCUCGAAAGCGUGGGGAGCGAACAGGAUUAGAUACCCUUGUAGUC